CCCUUAGAUGUCCUGGGCCGCACGCGUGCUACACUGACGCAUACAGCGAGCACUUUCCAGUUCCGAGAGGCUACUGGUAAUCAUCAAUAUGCGUCGUGAUGGGGAUAGAUCUUUGGAAUUCUGGAUCUUGAACGAGGAAUGCCUAGUAAUCGCAGGUCAUUAGCCUGCGAUGAUUAAGUCCCUGCCCUUUGUACACACCGCCCGUCGCUACUACCGAUUUCGAGUGGUCAGGUGAAUCUUUCGGACUGUGGGCGCCCUUGAGGUGUUCGCGGAAAGUCAUGUAAAUCUUAUCACUUAGAGGAAGUAAAAGUCGUAACA
rnacentral:rRNA from 1 species